GCAGACUUGCAAACAAGGUAACAAAGCCAGAUGCAGACUUGCAAACAAGGUAACAAAGCCAGAUGCAGACUUGCAAACAAGGUAUGAUGUUAACUUUCAGCCCCAGGCGUGAAUGGUUAUUUUUCUUGUGAGGUGUUUCUUGAGCAACAGGGACUACCACCAAGUUUUAGGAGAGCUAGAGCCAAUCA